UGCUGUGUUACACCUCUCUUUCUCUUCCCUUAAGCUGUACCUCUCAGCUCCUUCUCUCAUUCCUCUUUCACUUUCAGCCACAUGUGGUUCUCUCUCUUCGCAUAUGUACUGUUCGUGGAGAAGAAGUGUAUAUGGUCUGUUUCCUGGUUGGUGUUCUGUCCUGUUGGACUGGGAACUGGUAUGCACACCUUAUUCAUCUGUCUGGGUCCUCACAUAGCCAUGACUUAUGACACUACAUGUUCAUGAAUGGACUUCUUCUGGACUUCCCUGAACCACCAUACCCUGACCUCAUCUACUACCCCCAAGUGGGCACUGCAAAGGGGCAGAAGGGAAAAGGGAUAGAGGCAUUUCUCCGUUGGCGAUCAUCUCUAAGUCAUCUGAAUGCACAUCUAUGAUUUGGUGUGUGUGUUCACAGGAUGCAGGAAGAGCAACAUUGAAGCUACCAGCAUGCUUUAUGGCAAAAGUUGCAAAGUUGUUGUGGACAACACCGAUGAUGAAGAAUAUUUGAUGUCUGCAGAGAUAUUCUACAGAACAAUGAUGGGUGACGGGUGAAUCCUGUAUACAGAUGUCUGAAACUAAAAGAUACCUUUGAAGACAGAUGAGAGAGCAUGUGACUGGACUUGAAUGCAGUGAUUUAGUCUUGACAUUACUCAGCAGUUUCUUGUGACCAUUUGAAACUGACUCACAGCUUCAAGCAGAAUGAUGCGUUUGUAACAGGGAUGGGCAUGAAUGUCUCUGUGUCACUCUUUAAGCUAAUGCUUUCAUCUUGCGGUUUAAAGGCGAUCCAAAAUGCUCAAGCUCUGAACAAAAGACAUUCCUCUUUUACCAAACUGACAUUUUGAGCAGACAUUUUUAUGUCUGCUUUCAAAAAUGAACAGAAGAAUCUGUGGAGAAAAAAGCACUUAAGAUGCUGAGGGGAAAAUGUGCUGUUGCUAUGUGUCCAAACAGUUUGUGAUUGGACAGAACAAAUUCGGAAUUUUCAAGGUUGUCCAAUCAUAACACAGCUGUUCUGGCUGGUCCCCAUCUCCCCUCCCUUCUCUCCACUGCCAGCUUUUCUUGGACUGAUUUCAUGUCCAUAUUAGGCUUGAUUCAGUAAAAUCCCCUCCCAUGCCCCUCAACUAUUGUAUUGAGUGCUAAUGUACUUUUAUCUCUGGCAGCAAAAAGCAUUUUCAGGCUAUGUACAGUAAAUGAAUUAAAUAUGAUCUCAUUGGACCAUGCCAUCAAUAUAUUAAUUAUAUUUGCCACCUGCCAGCAACUCCACCAGUUGCCCUGCUCCUCUUCAUGAUCGGUUAGCAUUAAACGUGUAUGUUUGAUCAUACAGUGGAUGAUAUAUGUGCAAUAUAUGUGUAUACACUAAACUGCAAAAAAAAUAAAUAAAAAAAUUGAUUUAAAAGCAUGUAUGCAUUGAUAAUGAAAUAUUGAUGAAUGCUUAAUAUUUAAAGAAUACUUAUUAAAUGCAUUUAAAUAUCAGCCUAUUCUAGAGUGUAUUUCAGAUGACUGUAAAUUGCAUAAAGAGGUUAAAUAAUAAUUAUAAAAUGUGUUGCCGCUUAGUUAUUAAUGAAAACAUCUAUUUAAUACCCUGAUAAUUAUUUAAACAUUUUCCUUUGUUUAAUAAAAGUUAAUAUAUAUAUAUAUAUGCUAUUUAAAAAGUAUUAACAAAUCAAAUACUACAAAUUCUCCUACUUUGCAUUAUUCUGCUCAUUUAAAUUCCUCAUCAAACCAACAAUUAAGAUAUUUAGACUGUAUAUGUUGAUGACAAUAAAUACUAAAUAAAAUCCUGCAUAUUUGUCAGUUUGCUACUUAAAGAAAUAAACAACAGUAACAACAAAAAAACAGUUACAAAUAUUCCACCUAUAUAUCUGCUGAACAUUAAGACAUUCAUGCAAGCAUUCAAAAGGGUUUCAUUAGAAUCUGCCAUUUGUCUUCUCUUCCUAAUUUUUUUUUCAUUCUAUAUUGAUUCUUUACCACCCCUUCCCAGCAAAGGAAUAAGCAGGACAAUUCCUGUAAUUUCAAUAAAAGAGCCUUUUGUGAGAUAGUCAGAAUUAAACUUUCAGAUAUUUCAAGGAUUCUGUGACUCACAGGAAUUACCUUGCCGCCUAGUCUUGCCCCCCUCUCUUCCAAUUCAAAUGGAAUUUAAACAGUGUCAUUCCAAGGUUCAUGGAUCUUUCUGGUAAGGGUUUAACAUUAUAACAGAAUAUUCUUCUUUAGCGUAGAACACUAGAAGGGAAUUUAAAGGUAAGAUACAUACACAUACUAUCUCUUAUGCCUUGGGGAAAAAACUAUCCUGCAAAAAUGUUUUUACUAAAUAAACUCUGUUGUUCUUAGAACCAACUUAUUUAAAAAGGAUUUUGCCAUUAAGUUUUUUCUCUAACCCUUCUGACACAGAAGUUAAUAUAAUGAAUGUAGUUUAACUACUUGUCGUUAAGUGAACACAGAUCCUCUCUCUCUCUCUCUCACACACACACACACACACACACACGUUCUCUCUCUCUCUAAUUUUCUUCUAAUCAUGCAGAAAUCCCUUCUAAUUAUAGGGGAGUGAUCAUGCAAAAUAUAUAUAAAGAUAACAAAAAAUAUUGCAAACCUUUGGUGUACUAAGAACACGAAGUGUCGUCCAUUCUCCUCAAAUCUUUAAAUGCUUUAUCAGUUUGUAUUCUAAAAUCAUUCCACAUCUUUCCUUGAAGUCAGAGUUCUCCUUUGAUUCCUAAUUCUUUAGAUACUUUGAUUUGUUCUAAUUUAAUCUAACAAGAGAAAUUCAUUCUGACAUCCUUUUGUCUGUACUGCACACAAAAAAAUGGCAUUGUAUGUUUUUCAAACCAAAUGGUUAUUUCAAAUCUUCACAAAAAAUGUGGCAACUCUUUGUCAGUCUUAAUUUCACAGAAUCCCCUUCAAAUCAAGUUUAAUGAUUGGAAAAUGCCAAAUCAGAUUUAUUAAUCAGUCUAAUAAAUUAAAUGCAUUGUGACUUCUCAGAUACAGCACCAAGUCAGUGAAAGACUUAAAUAAUUACUGUGAUUAAACAAUAAAAAGUGUUUUAAAAUCAAGCACAGAAAAAGCAGAAUUUGUGCGUGAUUUUAAACAGUAAAGAUUUAAAAGAUCUAAAUAAACUACUAAGAUGAAUUAAUACUGAAAUACAACUCGGUGUCAAAAUGUCCCUGCACUAUGAUUUAGGCACAAAUGUGUUUUUUUUAUUUCAUCAAAAAUGAUAUGCAUAACUCAGAUAUGUAUAUUAGCUGUUUGGUUUUAAAAACAGACGCAUGAAAUCUUGAACUAUUAGAAAGAUUUCGUUAGCAAGCAGUCUAGCAGUUUUCUUUUUCUUAUUUUAAAUUUGUCUCACUUUUAUCAAGGGUUUAGGCAAAAGAGGUUAAUUGAAUAAAUAUAAUGUGUAUAUAUAUAUACCUAAAAUAUAUUUAAUGAAAUAUAUUAAACCAUUGACCUAAACUCCUAAUCAAAUAGUUAUUUUGUUGAACUGAAAGCAGUGUAUUUGAAUGUAUUGUAAGGUCUUCGUUACUGUCAUAUGUAUCUUAGUAAUUACAUAAUUAACACCAUUUCUAAUUGCAUUAUGGCAGAGUAAAUAAAUGUUUUUAACUAGAUGUUAAAACAUUUUGAGAGAUCUUUAAAACCUUGAAAAGGUGCUCAUUCAUUUGACUCUGCAAAGAUCAAAGUGUGUGUGACGUCUUUUAUUUAAAAAGAAUUAUAAAGGGCAGAUCUUCGUGUCCUUCUCUUCAAAUGUCUCUUGAAAAUUGAGAAAAAAUUAUAUUGAUGUCCUCUACUUAUUGUUUUAUUUUAUGUGAAAAGCUAAAUUUCUAAUUUGCUUUUCCUCUUUUCAUCUCUUUUGUGUGUUAGUCAACUCACAUUAAAUCUUUAAAUAUUAGAGCAUAUUAAAACCAUCAAAUUAUUAACAUUUACAUUUAAAAAAAAAAUACAAUUAUAAUACUGUAAUUAAUGCAUCUGUGUUAUGUCUUAAUUCAUCUGCAUAAAAUAAAAUCUGCAUUUAGAUUUAUGAAAUAAUGUCUGCUUACUUUUCUGACAGCUCUCACACCCCCCCGUAGAACUUAACCAAAGAUCGAAGUUCACAAUCCAAACAAUUGUCCAUAAAUUCUUUGGAAUCCCGUCCUGUGUCUCUGUAAGUGUUCCGAAAUAUAGAAGAGCUUUCAUCAGGUUAUUAGUAAUCACAUGAAUGUGCCUCUGUUUGACAAUGAAACAUGACAUUCAUUUUAUUCAAAGCUUCAUUUUUGUGGAAACGGGCAGGAUGAUGUUCCUGCCUCAUGCAUUUGUUCUUCAUUUUCCUGAAUAUAAUUAAACAUAUAUGAUCUGUUUUACCACCAUUGCAUUUAUUACAGCAAUGUUGCAUUAAAUUUAUUCCAAAUUCCUUUUUAGAACAAAACAAUUUGUAGUGUUUUCCCUAUGCUUUCCUACAACUUCAUGAUCUUUCUGUAUA